CCCCCCCCCCCCCCCCCCCCC
rnacentral:misc_RNA from 1 species